AAUGAACGUUGGCGGCGUGGAUUAGGCAUGCGAGUCGAGCGAGAACCGUGGCAAUACGGGGACAGCGGCGAAAGGGACAGUAACGGGCAGAUUAUCUGCCCUCAGGUUUGGGAUAGCUGCGGGAAACUGCAAGUAAUACCAAAUAAUAUCUCCGGAUCAAAGGUGUGAUUCCGCCUGAGGAUGAGUCUGCCUCCUAUUAGCGUGUUGGUGGGGUAACGGCCUACCAAGGCAUUGAUGGGUAGCGGGUUUGAGAGCACGACCCGUGUCAUUGGGACUGAGACACUGCCCCGACACCUACGGGUGGCUGCAGUCGAGAAUCUUCGGCAAUGGACGCAAGUCUGACCGAGCGACGCCGCGUGUGGGAUGAAGGCCUUCGGGUUGUAAACCACUGUCAGAGGGGAUGAAAUGCAGGUGGGUACUCCCAUUUGUUUGACAUAGCCUCAGAGGAAGUACGGGCUAAGUUCGUGCCAGCCGCCGCUGUAA
rnacentral:rRNA from 1 species